rnacentral:rRNA from 1 species
ACGACUCUCGGCAACGGAUAUCUCGGCUCUCGCAUCGAUUGGAGAACGCAGCGAAAUGCGAUACUUGGUGUGAAUUGCAGAAUCCCGCGAACCAUCGAGUUUUUGAACGCAAGUUGCGCCCAAAGCCUUUCGGCCGAGGGCACGUCUGCCUGGGUGUCACGCAACAU